rnacentral:snoRNA from 1 species
AAGAUUAUACUUUCAGGGAUCAUUUCUAUAGUUUGUUACUAGAGAAGUUUAUGUGAACGUGUGGAGCCCCAAAGGU